GCUGGGGUCUCGGAGAGGGCGGGGCCGGCUCGGCCCGGGGAGCGAACAGCUGGCGGGUGUCAGGGGCCGCCUGGCCGCCGCGGCGCGCCCCCGGCGCACGGUCCCCGGCCGGUGGCCACGACUUCACCUGGGACUCCCGGGAAAGGAACUGCGGUGGGAGCACACGCCCGCCCCGGGGCCUGUCAUCUGCCGGGGGUGGGGUGGUGGGGAUGGGGCGGGGAAGGACCGGGUGGCCGUGCCCGAGGAAGUGAACUUAUUUUGUUCCUUCACAAAAGACUGGACCAGGCGGCGCCUCCCCUCGCGAGGACACCUCCUUGGGCGCGCUUGGGGACGCCGGGGGCGAGCACCCCUCCUCCGGUUCCCCCCCCCGGGGGCGACGAGGGUUUCCACCGAAAAAAAAAAAUGCACCGCCCCGAGCGUCCUUAUUGCUGUGUGAUGAAAUGGAAAUUUAAAUAAAAAGGUCGAACACGUGCGUUCACUGGGAAGUAUUGACAUGGGUGUUACAUCACCGCCAGCCAAUCAGAUCACCCGAGCCGUGUUUAUACUUCUACAACCACCUUGAGCUUGAGAAAAGCUCUUGGCACCGCGUGUGGAAUUUAGAGCGAUGACAUCGGUCUAAGCUGGAAAUGAACUCCCUAAGUUAUAGUAGCCUA